AUGGGAAUCGAACCCACAGAGUUCCGCUUACCGGGCAGAUGCCAUGUCCACUAGGCU
rnacentral:tRNA from 1 species